rnacentral:rRNA from 1 species
CCUACGGGUGGCUGCAGUAGGGAAUAUUGGUCAAUGGAGGCAACUCUGAACCAGCCAUGCCGCGUGCAGGAAGAAGGUCCUCUGGAUUGUAAACUGCUUUUAUAAGGGACGAAAAAGACCAUGCGUGGUAAAUUGACGGUACUUUAUGAAUAAGCCACGGCUAACUACGUGCCAGCAGCCGCGGUAAUACGUAGGUGGCAAGCGUUAUCCGGAUUUAUUGGGUUUAAAGGGAGCGUAGGCGGUUUGAUAAGUCAGUGGUGAAAGGUAGCAGCUUA